GAGAGCUCAUCCUAACCUCCAGUGCUGGGAUUUCACAAAAUGAAAAUACCUUAAAUAUGCAACAGUGUUGGCAAAUGAACAGCAACAGAGAAAAAUCAUUUCUUCCCCUUUUUUAUCUCCAUCUUCAAACUUGAAUUUAAAACAACUAUUUUUACAUAAACUACAAAGUCACAGCCAGCAGCAUGUGCAGCAGAGACAGAUAGCCUGAGGUUGCCCAGGGACUUUUCAUUUUAUCUUUGCGCAGACCUAGCACUGCCUGCCAGGUAAAACUAGUGUAACGAGGGCUCCGGCGUCUCCACCACGCGUCAGCCCUGCCGAGGCCAAGAUGAGCACGCUGAUAACGCGGGCUGCCUGACAGCCAGGGGAGAUUCUGUAAAUCAUGCUGCUCCCAUUGAUUACAGUCGGGAAGAGCAUUAACCCUCCUUCACCCCAAGAUACGCUGUCUCCACAAGUGUUUGUAACAUCAACAUGUUACGGGAGCUUUUGGAAGAUGAAUUCAUUGCUAGAGAGAAGACCCCUUCGCAAAAUAAAGAAAUGCCAACAAGCCUGAG
rnacentral:sRNA from 1 species